rnacentral:rRNA from 1 species
UACGUAGGAUGCAAGCGUUGUCCGGAAUUAUUGGGCGUAAAGAGCGCGCAGGCGGUUUUACAAGUCAGAUGUGAAAGAGGCCGGCUUAACCGGCAAGGGUCAUUUGAAACUGUAAGACUAGAGUACAGCAGAGGAUAGCGGAAUUCCCGGUGUAGUGGUGAAAUGCGUAGAUAUCGGGAGGAACACCAGUGGCGAAGGCGGCGACCUGGGCCAAUACUGACACUGAGGUGCGAAAGCGUGGGGAGCAAACAGG